rnacentral:sRNA from 1 species
GCUGGGUGUGGUGGCUCACGCCUGUAAUCCCAGCCACUUGGGAGGCUGAGACAGGAGGAUCUCGAGUUCAAAGCCAGCCUCAGCUAAAGUGAGGACCUAAGCAACUCAGUGAGAACCUGUCUCUA